UUUGAAAUCUNGGCAUCUUUCACGUGUCCGAGUUGUAAUUUGAAGAAGGUAUCUUUGGGUCUGGCUCUUGUCUAUGUUUCUUGGAACAGAACGUCACAGAGGGUGAGAAUCCCGUGCGAUGAGAUGAUCCAGGCCUAUGUAAAGUUCCUUCGAAGAGUCGAGUUGUUUGGGAAUGCAGCUCUAAGUGGGUGGUAAAUUCCAUCUAAAGCUAAAUAUUGGCGAGAGACCGAUAGCGAACAAGUACAGUGAUGGAAAGAUGAAAAGAACUUUGAAAAGAGAGUGAAAAAGUACGUGAAAUUGUUGAAAGGGAAGGGCUUGAGAUCAGACUUGGUAUUUUGUAUGUUACUCCCUCGGGGGUGGCCUCUACAGUUUAUCGGGCCAGCAUCAGUUUGAGCGGUAGGAUAAUUGCGUAGAAAUGUGGCACUGCUUCGGUAGUGUGUUAUAGUCUUUGUCGAUACUGCCAGCCUAGACUGAGGACUGCGGCUUCUGCCUAGGAUGUUGGCAUAAUGAUCUUAAGUCGCCCGUCUU
rnacentral:rRNA from 1 species